rnacentral:misc_RNA from 1 species
UUCUCCAAGUCCGAGUAUGAAGAGCAUGGGGCUUCUUAUGUACAAAGAAAAUGCCCUUGAUACCUUAUUAUGAAGGCACAGAACAUGAGGUUGUACGGUGGAUAAAUUAUGGUCGGGGAAGCUGUCAAAAGAUAUCACCUUUCAUGAACUCCCAUUUUAGCAUCUUAGGUAUGAAAGUAAUAUGUGCCAUGACACCAACCUUUUGGGGCUCAUAUUCACUUUGCUUCUAAUCUGAACUUCUGGCAUGGAACCCAUCAAAAAGCAUCAACUUUACAAUCUGUUAUUGCUUGCUAACUUGAAUUACCUGCUAUCUUGUUCCGUAAUCAAAUGUUUGUCCCUGUAUCUUAGGUUGAUACCCAUUUAAAAUGUAUGAACUGCUGGACAUUUUCAGGAAUAUAUUGUUGGAAUCAUUGACA